UUUGAAAUUCAAAUGUAGAGUACAUUUGAAUCUUUAAUUAAUAAAUUUUCAUCUAAAUGAAAACAAAUUGAAAGUCGAAUAAUUGAAAUUGGUAGCAUUAAAGACGCUCACACUUUGAUAACAUUUGGAUCAAAAUUAAUUGUAUUGAAUAAGAAAAGUGAUAGUCCAUAAUGAAACACAAUAGGGAAUCGCAAAAUAUCGCAAAAGUCAGAGCAGAGGGCGCCACUAGCACAUACAGUAAACAAUCCGACCAAAUUCCGAAAUGUCGCACACGUCAUAUCAGAAUAUUGACAGAAACGUUGUCAAACAUUGAACAAAACUUUUUGUUUGCGCUGGCGGUGCUGCCUCUACCUUGUCGAACUGUAAUAUGCCCUAUUGCCGAUUGUACAUGAAGUUGAAACGAUUUGCACAUGACAUUAUUUUGUUAUUUGCGACUCGUUGCUAACUUCACUUCAGACUAAAGGCAAUGCCAGUCGUUUUCUGUUACAGUUUCGCUAUAGUAUUAUAAUAUGUUAAGUAUUGUAAUGUAUACAUAUUAUUCCAUAUUUAUGUUUGUAUUUGCACAUUUUUCUACAAAUUAUAAUAAACGAUUACACGAAAAUAUAUAGUAUGUAAA